AUGAAGACCUUCCUCGUCUUUGCCCUUCUAGCCGUUGUGGCGACAUCUGCCAUUGCACAGAUGGAGACUAGCUGCAUCCCUGGUUUGGAGAGACCAUGGCAGCAACAACCAUUACAACAAAAAGAGACAUUUCCACAACAACCACCAUCUUCACAACAACAACAACCAUUUCCUCAACAACCACCAUUUUUGCAGCAACAACCUUCAUUUUCGCAGCAACCACUAUUUUCACAGAAACAACAACCAGUUCUACCACAACAACCAGCAUUUUCGCAGCAACAACAAACAGUUCUACCACAACAACCAGCAUUUUCGCAGCAACAACACCAACAGCUUCUGCAACAACAAAUCCCUAUUGUUCAUCCAUCCAUUUUGCAGCAGCUAAACCCGUGCAAGGUAUUCCUCCAGCAGCAGUGUAGCCCUGUGGCAAUGCCACAACAUCUUGCUAGGUCGCAGAUGUGGCAGCAGAGCAGUUGCAAUGUGAUGCAGCAACAAUGUUGCCAACAAUUGCCACGAAUCCCCGAACAAUCCCGCUAUGAGGCAAUCCGUGCUAUCAUCUUCUCCAUCAUCCUACAAGAACAACAACAGGGUUUUGUCCAACCUCAGCAGCAACAACCCCAACAGUCGGUUCAAGGUGUCUACCAACCCCAACAGCAGUCGCAGCAGCAGCUCGGACAAUGUUCUUUCCAACAACCUCAACAACAACUGGGUCAACAACCUCAACAACAACAGGUACAAAAGGGUACCUUUUUGCAGCCACACCAGAUAGCUCGCCUUGAGGUGAUGACUUCCAUUGCACUCCGUACCCUGCCAACGAUGUGCAGUGUCAAUGUGCCGUUGUACAGCUCCAUCACUAGUGCGCCAUUAGGCGUUGGCAGCCGAGUUGGUGCCUACUGAUAA
rnacentral:rRNA from 1 species